GACGAACGCUGGCGGCGUGCCUAAUACAUGCAAGUUGAGCGAUGAAGAUUGGUGCUUGCACCAAUUUGAAGAGCAGCGAACGGGUGAGUAACGCGUGGGGAAUCUGCCUUUGAGCGGGGGACAACAUUUGGAAACGAAUGCUAAUACCGCAUAACAACUUUAAACAUAAGUUUUAAGUUUGAAAGAUGCAAUUGCAUCACUCAAAGAUGAUCCCGCGUUGUAUUAGCUAGUUGGUGAGGUAAAGGCUCACCAAGGCGAUGAUACAUAGCCGACCUGAGAGGGUGAACGGCCACAUUGGGACUGAGACACGGCCCAAACUCCUACGGGAGGCAGCAGUAGGGAAUCUUCGGCAAUGGACGAAAGGCUGACCGAGCAACGCCGCGUGAGUGAAGAAGGUUUUCGGAUCGUAAAACUCUGUUGGUAGAGAAGAACGUUGGUGAGAGUGGAAAGCUCAUCAAGUGACGGUAACUACCCAGAAAGGGACGGCUAACUACGUG
rnacentral:rRNA from 1 species